rnacentral:rRNA from 1 species
GAUGAACGCUGGCGGCGUGCCUAAUACAUGCAAGUCGAGCGAACAGACGAGGAGCUUGCUCCUCUUACGUUAGCGGCGGACGGGUGAGUAACACGUGGAUAACCUACCUAUAAGACUGGGAUAACUUCGGGAAACCGGAGCUAAUACCGGAUAAUAUAUUGAACCGCAUGGUUCAAUAGUGAAAGACGGUUUUGCUGUCACUUAUAGAUGGAUCCUCGCCGCAUUAGCUAGUUGGUAAGGUAACGGCUUACCAAGGCGACGAUGCGUAGCCGACCUGAGAGGGUGAUCGGCCACACUGGAACUGAGACACGGUCCAGACUCCUACGGGAGGCAGCAGUAGGGAAUCUUCCGCAAUGGGCGAAAGCCUGACGGAGCAACGCCGCGUGAGUGAUGAAGGUCUUCGGAUCGUAAAACUCUGUUAUUAGGGAAGAACAAAUGUGUAAGUAACUAUGCACGUCUUGACGGUACCUAAUCAGAAAGCCACGGCUAACUACGUG